rnacentral:rRNA from 1 species
AUUGAACGCUGGCGGCAUGCCUUACACAUGCAAGUCGAACGGUAACAGGUCUAUCGGGAUGCUGACGAGUGGCGAACGGGUGAGUAAUACAUCGGAACGUGCCUAGUAGUGGGGGAUAACUACUCGAAAGAGUGGCUAAUACCGCAUGAGAUCUAUGGAUGAAAGCAGGGGACCUUCGGGCCUUGUGCUACUAGAGCGGCCGAUGGCAGAUUAGGUAGUUGGUGGGAUAAAAGCUUACCAAGCCGGCGAUCUGUAGCUGGUCUGAGAGGACGAUCAGCCACACUGGGACUGAGACACGGCCCAGACUCCUACGGGAGGCAGCAGUGGGGAAUUUUGGACAAUGGGGGAAACCCUGAUCCAGCAAUGCCGCGUGCAGGACGAAGGCCUUCGGGUUGUAAACUGCUUUUGUACGGAACGAAAAGUCUUGGGUUAAUACCCUGGGAUCAUGACGGUACCGUAAGAAUAAGCACCGGCUAACUACGUGCCAGCAGCCGCCGUAACAC